UAAUAAUGAUGCUUACAAAAAUUCCCACCUCUCUGGUGAUAUCACUAUUUAAAGAGGAAUACUUACAGGAAAAUACCAAAUAGUGAUGAACAAAACUCAAAAGUACCAUAAAGUGACAUUUAGGAGAUGUAGCUAACUGGUACUUAGAAGCAUAGAGCUUCCAAUACUACAUUUAUCAUCCAGUAAAAAAAAAAAGUUUGAAAACAAACAAGCUCAACCUCCAAUUCAGGGUAUUUAGAAAAGACUGACGGAAUUACAAGAUGCAAAUAAGACAGAAUAAAAGACAUAUGUUAAUGCAGAGAGGAGAAAUAACCAAACUGAAAGCAUGUUCUCUGAAAAACAAAUCUUCUGGCAAAAAAAUGACCAUGAAUAGAUAAUAUUCCAAGCAUCAGGAAGAGGAAGUGAAUGCCUAUAUAAUUGAUUAGAAUUACCAUCUAAUUAUCAAUUUUCUAGAAAACAAGAAUUUUAAAAACCUACACACAAUUUGAGUUGGGUGUAUUACAACCCAAGAAACAGAAAAAUUGAACAGAAC
rnacentral:lncRNA from 1 species